rnacentral:lncRNA from 1 species
GCUUUCUCGUAAAGUCUUCAACUGACCGGGUGAAAAUCACCCACAUUAUAGAAGUGCAGGAACAAACUAAGACACUGGGUAAGGAAGAAAAGCAAACAAACAAACAAACAAACAAAAAGCAGUGGCACAAUGGAGAGUAAGUGGGGGAGUUGGAGGAAAAGAAGCCACAGAACAAACACCACCUAAAGGAGUUAAACCUCCAACUUCUCCAAGAUUUGGUGAGAGAAGAGGGGUGUGAAAUGAUAGAAAUUCCAAUCGAAAUGUCGAAAAGUUUGAGAAGGAGUCUGAAACAUCCAGGUUGUACUCCACUUCCUGCCAUGUCCAACACAGCAAAGUAGAAUAAAGCAUAUGUUAG